rnacentral:misc_RNA from 1 species
UAUCCAUGUUCCACAGGACAACCUAAUGCGUACAACAAAGGGUAACUUGUAUAAUCUUUAGCUUUAUUUCUUUAUCAUAUGUGUUUAACUUCUACAUUUUUCUGUUCAUUUGUUGACAAAGUAACUGUACCAGAUCUUAUUCAACAGUUCACACUGAAUAUAUUCCCAUGCUAGCAAAUACAUAAAGCUGAUAAUAGAUGAUUCCAAGAGGAGAUUAUCUGUUGCCAUAAGCAAGAGCACACAGACCCCCAAAGUGCCAAGGCACUUUGGUUUCAUGAAGUUGCGAUCUUUUAUUUUAUUAGCAGUAGGAGGUACUGCCUGUGCUUCCUAAUCUGCCUCUCUGAGCUUAGGAUUUCAAGCAACACUUCAUUCUUAGCAGAGACAUUAUUAUGAGUAAUACAUGAGAUAACCUAUUAUGCUGGCAAAUAUUUUUCUCAAACAUGGUUUUAACCUGUUAUGCUGGCAAAUAUUUUUUUCUCAAACAUGAUUUUACCACCUACAACAUUAUACACCAUACCUUCUUGUCAUGCCCGGCACUG